GUCAGAGUUUGAUCCUGGCUCAGGAUGAACGCUAGCGGCAGGCUUAACACAUGCAAGUCGAGGGGUAGAAGCAGCUUGCUGCUUUGAGACCGGCGCACGGGUGCGUAACGCGUAUACAAUCUACCUUUUACAGAGGGAUAGCCCAGAGAAAUUUGGAUUAAUACCUCAUAGUAUAGCAGUUUCGCAUGAAACCACUAUUAAAGUCACAACGGUGAAAGAUGAGCAUGCGUCCCAUUAGCUAGUUGGUAAGGUAACGGCUUACCAAGGCAAC
rnacentral:rRNA from 1 species